rnacentral:rRNA from 1 species
UACGGAGGGGGGCUAGCGUUGUUCGGAAUUACUGGGCGUAAAGCGCACGUAGGCGGCUUUGUAAGUUAGAGGUGAAAGCCCCCGGGCUCAACCUGGGAGGUGCGCUUGAUACUCGAGGGCUUGAGUGCGGGAGAGGAGAGUGGAAUUCCCAGUGUAGAGGUGAAAUUCGUAGAUAUUGGGAAGAACACCGGUGGCGAAGGCGGCUCUCUGGACCGUAACUGACGCUGAGGCGCGAAAGCGUGGGGAGCAAACAGG